rnacentral:lncRNA from 1 species
CCCCCCCCCCCCCCCCCCCCCCCCCCCCCCCCCCCCCCCCCCCCCCCCCCCCCCCCCCCCCCCCCGGUGCCCGGCCCGGCCGCACGGAGGGAGCCUGUCAAUCCCCCGGGCUGCGCGCCCCCCCGCGCCAGCCACUCGCACCUGAGCAGUCCCUACUUCCGUACCAGUACCUAAUGGAGGGACGGGGGAGAUCCAGAAGAUGGAGGCAGGCUUUUCUCCGUGGUUCGCGAGCAGUAGGACAAGAGGCAGUGGGCACAAACUGAUGCACUGGAAGCUCCACCUGAACACGAGGAAGAACUUCUUGGCUGUGCGGGUGACCAAGCACUGCCACGGAUUGUCUAGAGAGGUUGUGAAGUGUCCCCCACUGGAGAUGCUCAAGAACUGUCUGGACACGAUCCUGUGCGGUGUUCUCUAGGAUGACUGCUCGAGCAGGGAGGCUGGACCACACAACCCGCUGUCUUCCCUUCCGACCUGACCGAUUCUGUAAUUCUGCAAUACCUUCGUGGGGUGCUUCCCCCCAGCCCAAUCUUUAUACACAGUUUGUUGUGGCAGAGAGGAUCUGCACAGCAAGCAUAUACAUCCAGACCUUGUGGACAUAGAACAAAGCUACUUUACUGGGAAGUCAGCAGAAAUCACACAAGUGAGGAGCAGGAACUAAUUUUGUCAAGAACUAGAACCCAUGGGCUAUGAUCACAAAACAUAUGCUUAUUGGGAAGAAGCUUCCUACCUCUCUUAGAAGUUUCUCCAGGUAUCUAGCAUGGAUGAGAAGAGCAUAAGAAGAAUGCAGAACUUUAUCAGUGCACUGGCAACAGGUAAACUGGUUCCAAGUUUAGGAUUUAUUUCUAUGGAGAACAACUUUACCUUUAGAAAACCUAACUCUAGUGUACAAAUGGAGUUGCAGACCUUUGCUGAUCUUAUUUACAUAACAAUUCUCACCAGCAGGAAUGUGCCCCAGCUUUAUUUGUUUUCAAACACAAUACUGUGUGCAAAAAUGAAUUAUUUAUCCAUUGAUUUUUUUAUGAAGAGUUAAUACAAUGAUUCAUUAUUCUUUUGGUUUCCCAAAAAUUUUAACACUUCAAGUAGAAUCUUUAACAAGCAUACAAAAUUAUUCCAAACAAUUUACAUUUAAUUUAACCAGAGCAAAUAUAAAUUUGAAAGUAAGGUGAUGGCAAAUUACAGAGCCAUCAAGUAAAAGCUUGAUGGGGAGUCAGGCAUGCAUCUCUGAAAAUUGCAGCAACAGUAAUACUGUCUUGUGGAGCAGAACGGGUUCCACCAAAAUUAAGUCUCUAAGUAUGACCAAGUGACCCACCUAGCAGAUGAGAGAAAGGCUGUGUAUGUUUGUCUACCUGGACUUCAGUAAAGCCUUUGAUACUCUCACCCACAGCUUCUUCCUGGAGAAACUGGCUACUCAUGACUUAAGACUAGUUUGCUGGUUAAAAACUGGAUAGAUAGCUGGGCUGUGGGUGUUGGUGAAUGGAGUUAUCUGGCUGACAGUCACUACUGCAGUUUACUAGGGCUCACUGCUGGGACUGGUCCUAUUUAAUAUCUUUAUCAAUUAUUUGGAUAAGGUGAUCAAGUACCACCUCAAUUUGCAGACGACACCAAGUUGGGUGGGAGAGUUGAUCUGCUGGAAGGCCCUGCAGAAGGAUCUGGACAGGCUGAAUCAAUGAGCUGGGGCCAGUGGUAUGCAGUGCAAUAAGGUCAGGUGCUGACUCCCACCCUUGGGUCACAAGAACCCCUUUCCCUGCUACAGGCUUGGGGCAGGGAGACUGAAAAGCUGCUCAGCCAAAAAAGACCUAGGGGUCAACAGCAGAUCCUGACCUGGGACAUUGUGCAUUGUGGAGUGUGUCCAGAGAAGGGCAGUGGAGCUGUGAUGAAGGGCCUGGUGCACAAAUCUUACAAGAACCAGCUGAGAGAGCUGGAGGUGUUUAGCCUGGAGAAAAAGGAGAGAAUGAUGUUCAGGAGUGACCUUAUCCCUCUCUUACAGCUACCUAAGAGUGUAGCAGGCAAGGGUCGGCCUCUUCUCCCAGGAAAUUAGAAACUGGAGAAGAACACAUAGCCUCAAUAUGUGCUAGCACAGGUUCAGGUUGGACAUGAGAAAGAAUUUUGUCACUGAAAGACUGGCUAAGCAUUGGAACAAGCUAACCAGGAGGUGGUGGUGUCACCAUCCCAGGAAGUCUUCAAUAAAUGACUAGACAUGCAACUUAGUGCUAUGGUUCAGUUGGCAUGAUGGUGUUUCAUCAAAGGUUCGACUUACAGAUCUUUUCCAACUUUAAUAACUUUAUGAUUUUAGAAAAUUCAGUCUUAGGAAUAUACCUUUUUAAUGGGACAAUCCAUGGACUUAGAGAAGGUAGCAAAUAUAUACCAAUCUACACACAGUGUGGAAAGGCAAGGACAUCAGAGGUGUCAUAAGCGAAAACAAGAAGCUUGUAAGUCUACAUAAAUCAUGUUGUGUUCAUUUAAUAUUGUUGACAAGGCAAUACAAGUAACAAACUGAGUCACAGAUUACUGGCAUUUACGCAGAGUCACAAGUUUUCAGACAAAGACAGGCUUCUCAGUUCUGCAUCUUUACAGGCUACUAAAAAAGUAUUUAC